GCUCAAGAUGAGUGAGAGAGAGGUAUGAUACCAAGAGUUUUGUCAGAUUCAGCCAACGAUGAAAAUUCAAAGGUGCUGUGUAGUUCAGGAACACUUCUGAGCAGGGGGAAAAUUCAUUCUGUGCAUGUGCCACUAAUCCUGGCUGACCAGAAAGCAGAGAAAGAUGGUGUAUGGCUUAUUCCAGCUACACAUCAGAGAUACAUCCAAUGGGUUGAUCCAUAUACAUGUGUGAAUUUAGAAGAAAAGCACGAGACCUGAACUGAUGGGAGGAGCUGUAAACUGUGCCAAGCGCGUACGACGCCUGCCAGAAUGCUGUCCGUUGUGAGGCGUA